rnacentral:tRNA from 1 species
GGGGCAGUGGCCUAGUCCGGUAUGGCGAUGGGCUCCAGACUCAUCGAUCGUGGGUUCGAAUCCCAUCUGCCCCACCA